GUAACGACGUUGUCGCUACUAGGUAAUGGUAACGACGCUGCCGCUACUAUGUAAUGGUAACGACACUGCCGCUACUAGGUAAUGGUAACGACGUUGUCGCUACUAUGUAAUGGUAACGACACUGCCGCUACUAGGUAAUGGUAACGACGUUGUCGCUACUAGGUAAUGGUAACGACACUGCCGCUACUAGGUAAUGGUAACGACACUGCCGCUACUAGGUAAUGGUAACGACCCUGUCGCUACUAGGUAAUGGUAACGACGUUGCCGCUACUAGGUAAUGGUAACGACACUGCCGCUACUAGGUAAUGGUAACGACACUGCCGCUACUAGGUAAUGGUAACGACACUGCCGCUACUAGGUAAUGGUAACGACCCUGCCGCUACUAGGUAAUGGUAACGACACUGCCGCUACUAGGUAAUGGUAACGACGUUGUCGCUACUAGGUAAUGGUAACGACGUUGUCGCUACUAGGUAAUGGUAACGACGUUGCCGCUACUAGGUAAUGGUAACGACCCUGUCGCUACUAGGUAAUGGUAACGACGUUGUCGCUACUAGGUAAUGGUAACGACGUUGUCGCUACUAGGUAAUGGUAACGACGUUGUCGCUACUAGGUAAUGGUAACGACGUUGCCGCUACUAGGUAAUGGUAACGACACUGCCGCUACUAGGUAAUGGUAACGACGUUGUCGCUACUAGGUAAUGGUAACGACGCUGUCGCUACUAGGUAAUGGUAACGACACUGCCGCUACUAGGUAAUGGUAACGACGUUGUCGCUACUAGGUAAUGGUAACGACGUUGCCGCUACUAGGUAAUGGUAACGACGUUGUCGCUACUAGGUAAUGGUAACGACGUUGUCGCUACUAUGCAAUGGUAACGACGCUGUCGCUACUAGGU